CUUCCUCAGGUGCCGUUUCUGCCAAAACGACACUUUUUUUACUAUUAUUCUUAGGUGGAGGCGGCCAAUCUUCUCCUUCGUUUCCUCUUUUGGUCUUUGCCUCGACUGAUUGUUCGGGCAAUAACCUUCGACCCGACCGGAGAACCCGACCCGAGUCGGAUCCUUUCAUAACCACUCCGAAAACCCUAGUGGACCGCCUCAUCCCUACCGCCGGCAUUGCCGUACGGUUCUUUUUUCAAAAGAACAAAAACCAAGCACGAAUAAAACCGGAAUCGAACCGGAUUUUUUCUGUUUCUUACAUAGAAUCAAGAGCCAUCGAAACUUGCAGAAAAUCUAACGACGAUCGCGUCCUAUUUAAAAAAAUUAUAAGAAAAUUAAACGAGAAAUCGGAUAAACCGAGAAAAAUAUCGUAAAAAAUCGAACCUGAAACGAAAACAGAGACGAUAUAUAAAUCGGAGGAAAUAAAGCGGAAAGAGAGANNNNNNNNNNGAGAUCGGAGAGAGAAAGGGAAAAGAGCGCGCGCUGAGAUGAGAGGAGAGAGUGUGUUUCAGUGUUUCGGCUAGCUAGGGUUUAUGAUUAAAAAAAAACCGCUGAUGAGAGAGGGGAAAGGAAAAUAGAAAGAGAAGAGUUGUGUUUUGAGUACGGAGAGAGAGAGAGAGAGAGAGAGAGAGCGAAGCGUCAGAUUGAAAUUGUAGGGGUUGAGAUUUGUUGAGCGCGCAAUCCAAUGGGUCCUUAUUCCUCGAAAGAAAAGAGCGUUUUUCUUGUUUCCCAAGACAGAAAGAAGAGAGGGAGAGUGAAAGAGUGGAUAUUUGUAGGACAGGACACGUAAUAGCGGCCAAGGGUUAGUCAAAAGACAGGUUUAGCCUACAUAUUCCAUGGAACUUACGACUGGAUUGGAUAUCAAUUUU
rnacentral:lncRNA from 1 species